GCCGGGGUGGCGGAACUGGUAGACGCAAGGGACUUAAAAUCCCUCGUUCCUCAAGAACGUGUCGGUUCGAUUCCGACCCUCGGUACCA
rnacentral:tRNA from 7 species